GUACAUAUUGCUUGUAAUGUUGUACGAUGGUUUUUGGAAAACCUCAGGCACACCCUCAUCAUCACUCCUUCACCCCACAUCAACCAAACUCAUCUCUUCCCUUCCUCCUCUUAUAUCAUAAAAUUGACAUUAGGCUUUUGUUAGACGACCGUAAGCUCAGAGAUCCAUCGAUAUGCUGGAAGCGAAGCUUAUCUAUAAACAAGAAACAUCCGGCUAUAAACAAGAAACAUCCGGUACGACGUUCAGGUGAAAUAGAGGGAGAAAGAAAGAGAUGGAGAGAGAUUAGAGGAGGGAGACGGCGUAAAGGACAAGGAGGCUGCCCAUCGUCGUUAGAGGGAGUCUUCGCGUUGGCAUCAUUGCCAUCCACACGCUUAGCCUGAUUGUAUUCCGGCGAACCUAGGGUUCUGCCGUGAUUUUCGACGGUGGUGGAUAGGGUCAAAUCGACCACCAAAACCAGCGGCGGCUAGGGUUUCGUGGUGUAAGGGGUUGCUGAUGAGAUUCAGAUCCCACUCAGGCAGAUUUUUGUUGAGUUUCUUGAGAGGUGGUGUUUUAAAUGGAGUUCAACGCAGAGCUUCGUAGAAACUCAAGGCUAAAAGCACCAAGAAGAUUGUGCUAAGGUUACAAGCAUGUGUCCCAGCAUCCAAUUAAGAGAUGCAAACAUUUUGACAUUGUGGAGACAAGAAGGCCAAUGGAACUAAACAAAAAAAGAUGCAAACAUUUUGGCAUUGGUGCAGAGAUGCAAACAUUUUGACAUUUGUAUACGUGAGCCAACAAGAAAGAAGCUGAGAAGACAGAACAAAAACAUCCAAAACAGAAAACAAGAAACAAAAGAGAGAUUACAACAAAUCAGAAAUAUCAAAAGAUUUCCAAUUAUCCCAAAUCGGCGACUUCAGCUUCGAGCGAAUACCAAUCCACAGAAAGGCUCUUUAAUUAACUCCACUGUUUUGUAAAUCGGAAUGAAGCGGCCAUCGAAAGUCAUCUCGUUUCUCGCCUUCCAAAUCCUCCAAACCGUUGCCAUAGUGACCGUGUAGAUAAUCCUUUUCCAUAUCUUCCCACCCGGCAGAUUCUGAAGAAAGUAAACAAGCUCCUCCAUGGUAGAAAUAUCAACUGGGAAGCUUAUUCUCAUCCAAACUAAAAGGUUCCACCAUAUACUUCUAGACCAGAGACAUUUAACAAAAAAUAUGGUCCGGGUCCUCUUCGUAAAGACCACACCGCGGACAGGAGAUAUCCACAAGAGGAACGCCCCUACGGUUCAAACUAACUCUAGAAACAAUCUUUCCAAUCAACACUCUCCACAGGAGAUAAUUAACUUUAGGAGGAGCCAACUAUUCCAAUCAAAAACUAACAAAUUAUUAUCGGCUUCCACGUUGGACGACAAAGGUUCCGUUAGAGUCCGAGCGCCACUUCCAUGAUUUACCUUCCGCAAUCUAUAAUUGUUAAUUUAUUGAUUUUGAUUUUUGUUUCUAUAUGAGUUGAGACCGGUAAAAAGUCAACUUUUAAUCAAUGAUUAUAUUUUUUA